CCUACGGGCGGCAGCAGUCGAGAAUCAUUCACAAUGGGGGAAACCCUGAUGGUGCGACGCCGCGUGGGGGAAUGAAGGUCUUCGGAUUGUAAACCCCUGUCAUGUGGGAGCAAAUUAAAAAGAUAGUACCACAAGAGGAAGAGCCGGCUAACUCUGUGCCAGCAGCCGCGGUAAUACAGAGGUCUCAAGCGUUGUUCGGAAUCACUGGGCGUAAAGCGUGCGUAGGCUGUUUCGUAAGUCGUGUGUGAAAGGCGGGGGCUCAACCCGCGGACGGCACAGGUUACUGCGAGGCUAGAGUAAUGGGGGGGGAACCGGAAUUCGCGGUGUAGCAGUGAAAUGCGUAGAUAUCGAGAGGAACACUCGUGGCGAAGGCGGGUUCCUGGACAUUAACUGACGCUGAGGCACGAAGGCCAGGGGAGCGAAAGGGAUUAGAUACCCGGGUAGUC
rnacentral:rRNA from 1 species